rnacentral:rRNA from 1 species
GACGAACGCUGGCGGCGUGCUUAACACAUGCAAGUCGAACGAAGUGGCGAACGGGUGAGUAACGCGUAAUCAACCUGCCCUUCAGAGGGGGAUAACAGUUGGAAACGACUGCUAAUACCGCAUACUGAAGGAGGGGAUUGCGUCUGAUUUGCUAGUUGGAGGGGUAACGGCCCAGCAAGGCGAUGAUCAGUAGCCGGUCUGGGAGGAGGGACGGGCACACUGGGAAGUGGACACGGCCCAGACUCCUACGGGAGGCAGCAGUGGGGGAUCGUCCGCAAUGGACGAAAGUCUGACGGCGCAAAGCCGCGUGAGAGAUGACGGCCGUCGGGUUGUAAAGCUCUGUUAAUCGGGACGCGGUACCGGAAUAGAAAGCCACGGCUAACUACGUGCCAGCCGCCGCGGUAAUAC